AGGAAGCAGACAAAGUCCACAUCCUCCUGGGUUUUCACCCACACUCAUAGGCAAUGCAUAAAGUAGCCACGUUUGUUUCCAGUCUGUUCUUUACUUUGAAGUUGAAGAGAACAAAAUGCAAAAUGAAUAUGUCAAUAUUUUUCUUUCUUUUAAGGUGAGAGCAUGCUUUAAAACAAAUAGAAGUGCCCAUCUUUGCCUAGAGAUACUGCUAUGUGCUUAAAACAGGAGAUAAUUGUAACAUCCCAGAUACCAUUUAAGGGGUUUUCUACAGGAGAUCAUUCCCGCCACAGGCCCUUGCCUCCUAACUGAUAUCCCAGAAAAACUUCCCUGCUGGCUGAGAAGGUCUCCAUGGGACUCCCUUUGUAGCUCUUCGGUACCGUCCUUGAAUCAGCCAUAGAAGUUGCUACACAGUGAUACAGGAUGCACUUCGUUGUCCCUUCCUGCAGGGAAAGCUGAGACUUCUGCAUUCACAGCACCUGCCAGCCUGGGGAAUGUAAGACCCAGUUUAAAUUUUUCAAUUCAGUUUCAUGUAAAUGGAUGUGUUACCCUGUAAUUAAUUCACUACUAAUUACACAAUUACUCUCAUUUAUAGUAUCAGUUAAAAAAAUGAAUUGAUGUUAGCCCAUUCUAAUUUGCAAAAUAAAUUAAGCAAAUUGUUACUUGAUUUUAAAUCAAGUAAAUCAGCUGCUUGGUUCAUUUUCCCAGAGUAAUUCUGUAAUAGUUUAUAAUGUUACUGAAUGUUGCUUACAUAUGCACGACCAAUAUAAUUCUCAGUAGUGUCAUUCUAAUGACAUGAGGGAAGUUUUAGGCUUGGGAUGUCCGUGCCUAAGGUUAUGUGGCCUUUUGCUUCUCCUGGACUCCUGUUUAAGCUGCCCAUUUUGGGCUUGCUCAUUAUGAAGAUUUAUACCAUCAUCUAGUGGAACUCUCGUAAAACUACAACCCAUUAAUUCUCUCAACUAAUAUGCUCUUUGCAUGCAGCCAGAGAUGGAAAGAAUAGGCAAUGAGGUCCUUGUAUUCAGAUUACUAAAAAUAGGAGGAUUUUUGACAUCUACCAGAACAGGAGAAUUUGCCAUAACCUCUGUAAUUAAAAUCUUGUUCAAUAUUUGCCUAAUGUCACAUUAAAUCUAUGUAAUGCUGCUGCUUGUCUCCCUGCUCCCACCUCCUAAUAUUAUUUUUCAGGAUCUAGAAACAUGACUACAGCAGCAGCAGCUAACCUGUGUUAUAAGCAGAGGAAAUUAUUGGUUAGCAAAGCAAAGGGUGGACAAGGGAAUAGAAAUGUAUCCUAGGUACUCCACCCUGGACAAUAAAUAAAGCCUGAAUAAAAGGGAUUUCAUCCUUAUUUUUCAUCAUAGUAUGAGAGACACCGUUGCCCCUUGCAUUCUCUCCCCAACUCCCUACAGUUAGAGCACCUGCAUGCCUUCACCAUGCAUGGAAAUAUUAUUGUGUCACACUGCCAGUUUCAGGCUAUUACCCCCACAGAUGAUUAACUAUGCUGCCAAACUCCCUCUCUCAAAUAUACUCCCUUCAAUUAUUCCAACCCCUCCAUCCACACCUCUCCUAAUAAACUUUCUCUUCUUAAUCCAAAUGAGCUGGGGGAACCAGCUGUAGUAUCACAACAUAUUGGGUCAUCCAAUGGCACUUCAGAAGCUGACUAAUGAAUCAGCAGAAUGACCAUACAGUAUUUUGAUCAGCCAGAUGCAGUUGAUCAAGGGACUAGAUCAGAGACAGUAUGACUUUGCUUGAACAAAUCAAUCAAGAGAGGUAUUUUCAUGUCGGAGUCCACCCAUUAUUCACACAGCUACUCUUCUCAAUAUUUCUACAUCUACUUCUGAUGUUGGAAUUUGAUGCACACCAGUGACCCAACCAGUGCAAGCUGGGAAAAGUGUAAACCAUGCACCAGCCAUUAAAAAUUCUAGUAAGUUGCACAGAAUAAUGCUCACAUCAAUAUUUCCCAUACUGCCAUGCACAUGCAACUUUCAGCUGAAUGUCAGACUGGCAGGACCCUGGGGAGUAUGUGCAACAACAAGAAGGAAGAAGUGUAAUGUCAUCUAACAUAUCUAUCCCAAUGCCCGUGUCAAGUGUGUUCAGUGCAUGGCUAACAGAUCCACCCAGACUCAUCUAUCCAGUAUGCUAUUGCCACUACCUAAAGGUCAGAACCUCAUGUGUUGGUUCUCUGUGGUACAGCCACAUAUCAACUGGUGGCUUCUUUAUAACCCUCUUUUCCCUUUCUACCAUGUUUUGGCCAGUUUUUAUGACAGCACUUGGACCGUCUCCCUGAGUCUGUUUGGUCCUGCUGAGUCCAUCCUAGCAUUAAACAAUGCAUGCUGUUUUGAGCAUUUUUCUGGGGAAUGAUAUAGCACCAUUCGUGUACUUGCCUUUGUGGGCUACUCUGUGAACCAUGUUUACACUUACAUGUUUUUCUGUGCCCAAAUGGAUGACAGCCCCACUAAUUUUAAGUGUGUGACUAUGCCUCUUCCCCAAUGCCCAGAAUAUAAAUUUGGCAAUAUACAAAAGGCAAUGUAAAAGAAAGGUAAUGCCUUAUAAUAAUCAUCCUAAAAUAACAUGAACUGCAGAGACGUACUGUUGCUGCUUCAUCUAAUCUGAAGCAUGCACAGUCCAUAUUCAUAGUUAGUCUGUUUUUAAAUCAUAGCAACCUUAACAACAACGAAAAGGCGUGACCUGUCUUUCCUGGAAGAGCCUAGUCACAUUCCUCUCUCAAGUUCUCCAUGUGACAGAGGAGCGCUACAAUUAAAGCACAAUAAUUUGCUUGUUAUUCAAGUCAGGCAUUAGUUCUAGUAAUGGGGUGCUUGGUGGAGAGAUGGAUUUCCUUGUUAGGAGCUAAGCACAGGAUUAACUGAAUUCUCCAUGGAGAAAUCUUGAUUUGUUCAAGGUCUUUCAUGUUUUCUACAGAGAAGGGAUUAUGUCUACUUAAAGAGGGGGCUUGCUUAAAAAGCUACAAAGUAUAAGAAAAGGAUUUAGGGCAGUCGGGCCUGCGGUUAAGUAGCUGAGGGGUAGAGGGAGUUUUAGAGCAGAAGAUUAUUUAAAGCCAUAAAGUUCAAAAAAUAAUUGGUUUAGCACUACUGGGUCAAUGCAGGGUAACAUGCUGGAAAGGCAGUUAAGCAUAAGCUAAUAUUCAUUUUACUUUGGCUAAUUAUUGCAAGGCUUCAGAGUAAAGGGUGAAAGAAGAAAUGUUCUAGUUCUUUCCUUUGGGGUUCAAUCACAUAGUAUAUUUUCUAUGCUCUUUUGGUUUUUUUAUAUAUACUUGUUGUGACAUAUAUUAUCAGACAAAUGCAAGAAUCGCAAAGGGCUUUUUUUAAAGCUCUGACAUUGUUCAUUUAAUGAGGCCAUGAAGUAGACCGUUAAAUGCCUCUCUAAGAGUUAUGGAAAAUGUGGUCCCUAUGUAGCCGCCCUUCUCAUCCCCAACUCUUUUUUCUUUCCCUUUUUUAAAAAAUUCUAGUGAUAUAAUUAGCUGAAUUUGACUCAGAGCAGGUUCCUGUGAUCAUUCAGGUCUAUGAUAGAUCUAAGUCGAGGCACUCUUCAAUCCUGAUGUAAACAAGAGACUUUCACUCUGUGAUACAGAGCUCCCUCCAUUCACUCCAUAAUUAACUAGAUGACAAUGUUGGAUUUUGGCUGACACUUCAUGGGUUUUUUUCCCCUGCUACACGGUGCAGUUUCACGGUACAGAAAAUAGAAUGGUCUUAAGGGAAAACUGAACAGUGUAUUUGAAAGAACCAACAGGGAGUCCCACCUCACACACACACACUGGAUUCAUAGCCAAAGUCCUACGAAAAUGGGAGCAAAUCUUCCCACAACAUAUGGAGUGCCAUGCAGAUUGCGAGUGGAUUUCUCCAAGAAAAAUUGGUUGUUCCUAAUGGAGAUUGUGAUUUAGUGGGCAUAAAUGUAACCUGGUGAGAUACUUCCUAUAAUUGGAAUGUCAGUACAUAUGAUUACAAUCUAUAUAGGACAGACAGAAAGGAAGAAAUGGUGGAGGGAUGGCGUGAUAUGUAUAAAAUAGUUCUGAAACAGUCAAAUUGUACUGCAGUGCAACAGUGAAAGAGUGUGGUGGGAGAGAGCAUUUGUUAAUGAAAUGUGCUGAUGGUAGUAAAUUAGGCAGUGUGAACACUAGCACAGAGAAAGAAACAAUACAAAGGCACCAAGAGAGAUUGGAAACACGGACAGAAAAAGUAAAAUAUGAUUCGACUUGGAAUAAUAUAUUUGGGGGGAAAUGUUCAGAAAUACAUUCAAUCAGAGGGAGAAAGCAUGGCAAGCAGCAAUGCUGAAGGAAACCUAGAGGUGAUGAUGGACAUACUAGAUAUGAGUUUGCAGUUUGAUAGAGCCGCUAAAUAAGGAAAGCAUUUUGGGUUAAGGUAUCAUGUAAAAGAGCUAGGAUAUAAUAGUCUUUCUUUGUGCAACUCUGCUGUGACCACACCUGGCAUAUUGUUUUCAGUUCUGGGUACAUCAAUACUAGAAAGAUACUGAGAAAUUGGAGGGAGUUUAGAGAAGAGCAACAACAACAAGAAAAGGUUAGGGGUCCAGAGGUGGAUAAUGAGGCAAGCUUAAAAGAGCUAAAUACUCCAUGAAUAGCUUUGGCUGUGAUGAUUAAGUGUGUGGUGGGGAGACAUAAUAACAGACUGCAAAUAUCUGAAGGAUGUAAAAAAGAGGAAGAAGAAAUUAUCAGAGUAGUGCACAAGGUAUAACUGGGAGUACUGAGAUAGAACCGAGAACGAAUUUAGAUUGAAUACUAGGAAAAACAUUCUGAACAUGAAAUUGAUUAGGCUGUGAAAUAGUCUCCCAAAGGAAACAAUGCAAACCUUAUCACUUGGGACAACUAAAGUCAGAUAGGACAACGCAUUAGUAAAUAUAUAUUAGCAGAACACUGUGCAUAGGUGGAAGGAUGGACUAAAUCACCAUUUCUAAUAUCUACAGUAUAAACCUACGUACUGUAUUUAGCGAUUAUUCCUUACUCUACCAGUUUAAUUUAAUUAAAAAUACCUGUGGAAACCCCUACCAGCCCUGCACAUGUUCUGCAUAGUCAUCUGAAAUUUGUCCCACAGCUUGGAGAUUAAUAGGAUUCUCCCAAAUGAAAGAUACUGAUUCUGGUUCUCAGCUGGAUCCAAUUCCAGUUGCAGCCAAUAGGAGUCUUUUCAUUUACUUCAAUUGCAAUUGGAUCAGGCCCAUACACUAUUUUAAUUCUGCUUUACCUGGCUUAAAGGAAAUGGGUCUUGCGGUUAGAGUAAGUACCUGGUAGACUAGAACCUGUGACAAUGGAAGUAAUGGGAUCCUGAUGCUUCCACAUCACCACUAGGAGCCCAAGCCAGGUUUCUACUGGAGACCUGUGAAGCUAGACACUGCAGGAAGUAUCACCAGGCAGGCCCUGCGUGACAGCCCCCUGCAGCUCACUGAUUGGCAAAUGCCAGUACAUAAACCAGAAAGCCAUUACAGGGAGCUGUCUGAGCAAUGAUGUAGACUACCUGCUUGCUUCUGAUCCAGAUUUUGCCUUCCUGUGAACCUUGGACUCCAUCUCCUGACCCCAGUUUGUCCCCAGCUCUGCUACUUGCCUCCGCUCUGUAACCUGGUGCCUGACCCUGACUUCCUGGUAUUCUGACCCAGCUCAAUCCCAACUCUGCUACUGUCUCCUGCCUGUAACUCAGUGCCAGACCCUGACUCCCUAGUAUGCUGACUCAGCUCAACCCUGACUUUGCUACAUAUCUCCUGACCUCAACUUGAUAACUGACCAGUGCACACCUGCUGCCUAUGGCCGGGCCCUGACAGCUGGAUUCUGUUCCUCUAUGCCACGUACUUCCUCUAUGACUUUGGGGAAGUCACUUUUCCUUUUUUGCUUCAAUCUACUCUUCUAUAAUAAAUUAAAUAUCAAAUAUUCAUGGGAGAAUGUGAAGCUUAAUUUAUUAACCUUUGUAAACAUGCUUUGUCAUCUUUGGGUAAAAGGUGCUAUGUAAAUUCAAAGUAUUGUUUUUGUCUUGCAAGAUUCAUGGUACUGAGGAGGUGAAAGGGUGAAAGAGUUUAUUUGCAUAAAAGAUGAUGAUUUAUCUACUUUGUGGCUUCUCAGGUUCCCUGGAGCUUUGCAAGACAAUACAUUUUUCUAUCUUUGAAGAAUUUCUUUCAGAUCCAGAAGAAGAGAAACAUUCUUUUAAAACUCAGUUGCUCCGCCCCCACCCCCAACCCCCUCCCAUCCCCACACAGACCAAAAUCCUGGAGUGAGGUGAAGACAAACAGGUUUCAUUACACCCAUCAGCUUUGUCCAUCUCAAGGGUUCUCUGGAAUUAGGGUUUAUACUGAUAACAAGUUCACUGAGACUACUCACUCACUAGGUAAGGUAGUACUCACUAUAAUCAAAGAUGACAGAAUCUGACCCAGUGAUUCUGAUGUAAACACAUGAUUCUUUCCAACCAGAUUAGGAUCACCUGUGAACAUUUGAUGAUACUUUCUAAUUUCCCACCUUGACAGCCUUUCACAAUCAUUCUUCAUUACUGCCGUAUCCCCACCUCCUCACCAGCAUGCACCUGCUUCCCAUCUAUACCACAGUAAUAUUAGAGGUGCCAGUGAAUUGUCACUACAGGCACAGGGAUGUAGAAACACUGGGCUGAGCCAAAAUUUACAGUUCUCAAACCAGGCAUCAAGUUUUCAUAGCCUGAUUCUUGUUCAUGCAGAGAAGAUAUAGCAUGAUGGACUGUGAUCAAGCAAAACCCAUCCACAAAAAGGAUGACUUACAACUGCACACUGUCAGAAGAUAGGAUACUGGACUAAAUGGACCAUUGGUCUGAUCCAAUAUGGCCAUUCUUAUGUUCUUAGCCACUUUGAUGGUUCAGUAGUUUUAUGAUAAAGCUUGGAAAUGUUCAUAUUAUUAUUGCUCAUUUUGUUCUUUCAUUUUCUAUUUCAUUAUCAAGCAUAAGCUUUGAUGUAUUCAGUGAUUCAUUAUAAGGAGGAAACUUGUAUAAUACUUGAUUACAUACCUGGAUACAUUACUGCCAGCCAGUCUCACUACCAAGACAGGCCUGCCUCACAUAAACCUUACAACCCUUCAAUUCUUCUCACUGGAAAAACAGCUUUAAGGGACAGCCAGAAUUAAUCAUUUGUAGUCAUGGUGAUUAAAUCCAUCUGGAAUAUAUCUGAAGAGUCAUCCUCACACCUCCGCCCAUAUAAAUACGCAGCCCAUGUAAUAUAUGUUUCACCCCUUUCCUUUCUUUGUGGUUUUACCCUUCCUGUUCUAAAUUGCCCCAGUCUCAGUGUAGCCAUUUUGUUAUUAAAUUAACGUUUUAGUCUUCCCAAGAGAGUGUUUCUGCCAUCACCUGUCAAUGGAACAGAUUUCUAUGUGGGUGCUCCUAGAAAGAACACUGUAAAAUUUAAAAUAAUUUUAAAUUCAUUUUUGCUAUUUGUUUUUUUUAAAUAAGUGACAUUCAAUUUAUAAGUUAU